rnacentral:rRNA from 1 species
AUCCCAAGUAGCAUGGAGCACGUGAAAUUCCGUGUGAAUCUGCGAGGACCACCUCGUAAGGCUAAAUAUUCCUGAAUGACCGAUAGUGAAACAGUACCGUGAGGGAAAGGUGAAAAGAACCCCGGGAGGGGAGUGAAAAGAACAUGAAACCAUAAACUUACAAGCAGUAGGAGGACGACUAAAACGUCUGACUGCGUGCCUGUUGAAGAAUGAGCCGGCGACUUAUAGUUAGUGGCAGGUUAAAGUAGUGAAUACUGAAGCCACAGUGAAAGCGAGCCUGAAUAGGGCGUUUGUCACUAGUUAUAGACCCGAACCUGGAUGAUCUAACCAUGGUCAGGUUGAAGCUUAGGUAAUACUAAGUGGAGGACCGAACCGACUGAUGUUGAAAAAUCAGCGGAUGAAUUGUGGUUAGGGGUGAAAUGCCAAUCGAAUUCAGAGCUAGCUGGUUCUCCCCGAAAUGCGUUUUGGCGCAGCGGUAAAUGUUAUAAUUUAGGGGUAAAGCACUGUUACGUAUGCGGGCUGGUAAUUCGGUACCAAAUCGUUGCAAACUAAGAAUACUAAAUGUACAGUUUACCAGUAAGACUGUGGGGGAUAAGCUCCAUUGUCAAGAGGGAAACAGCCCAGAGCACCAGUUAAGGCCCUUAAAUAAUUACUAAGUGGUAAAGGAGGUGGGAGUGCAUAGACAAUCAGGAGGUUUGCUUAGAAGCAGCAAUCCUUUAAAGAGUGCGUAAUAGCUCACUGAUCGAGUAAACCUGCGCCGAAAAUGUAUGGGACUAAGUAAUUUGCCGAAACUGUGCGAUAUAUAUUUAUAUAUCGGUAGGGGAGCGUUCUGUUGUAGGUCGAAGUAUUAGCGUAAGCGGAUAUGGACGAAGCAGAAGUGAGAAUGUCGGCUUGAGUAACGAAAAUAUAGGUGAGAAUCCUAUACCCCGAAAACCCAAGGUUUCCUCCGGAAGGCUCGUCCGCGGAGGGUAAGUCAGGACCUAAGGCGAGGCUGAAAAGCGUAGUCGAUGGACAACGGGUUAAUAUUCCCGUACCAUUUUUUAUUGAUAUCGAGGGACGGAGAAGGUUAAGCUAGCCGGAUAUUGGUUUUACCGGUUUAAGCGUUCGAGAUGUUGAGAAGCGGAGAAAACGCUUUGAGUUGAGACGUGAAUACGAGACGCUAAGGCGUCGAAGUAGUGUAUAUCAGACUUCCAAGAAAAGCUUGCACUGUCAUAGAUAAAAAAUGCCUGUACCAUAACCGACACAGGUGGGUAGGUAGAGUAUACUAAGGGGCGCGAGAUAACUCUCUCUAAGGAACUCGGCAAAAUAACUCCGUAACUUCGGGAGAAGGAGUGCCUUAUUUAUAAGGUUGCAAUAACAAGAUCCAAGCAACUGUUUAUCAAAAACACAGGUCUCCGCUAAGUCGUAAGACGAUGUAUGGGGGCUGACGCCUGCCCAGUGCCAGAAGGUUAAAGAAGUUGGUUAGCAAUUGCGAAGCUGAUAACUGAAGCCCUGGUGAACGGCGGCCGUAACUAUAACGGUCCUAAGGUAGCGAAAUUCCUUGUCGGGUAAGUUCCGACCCGCACGAAAGGCGUAAUGAUUUGGAUACUGUCUCGGAGAGGGGCUCGGUGAAAUAGACUUGUCUGUGAAGAUGCGGACUACCUGCACCAGGACAGAAAGACCCUAUGAAGCUUUACUGUAACUUGAAAUUGAAAUUGGACUUUAUUCGCGCAGCAUAGGUGGGAGGCGUUGAUUAUAAUCUUGCGGGAUUAUUGGAGCCAUCAGUGAGAUACCACUCUUGUAAUGUUAGAUUUCUAACUUUGAAUCAUUAUCUGGUCAAAGAACAGUUUCAGGCGGGCAGUUUGACUGGGGCGGUCGCCUCCUAAAUGGUAACGGAGGCGUACAAAGGUUUCCUCUGAACGGUUAGAAAUCGUAUCUAGAGUGUAAAGGCAUAAGGAAGCUUGACUGUGAGACCUACAAGUCGAGCAGGGACGAAAGUCGGUCUUAGUGAUCUGACGGUACUGAGUGGAAAGGCCGUCACUCAACGGAUAAAAGUUACUCUAGGGAUAACAGGCUGAUCUCCCCCAAGAGUUCACAUCGACGGGGAGGUUUGGCACCUCGAUGUCGGCUCAUCGCAUCCUGGGGCGGUAGUACGUCCCAAGGGUUGGGCUGUUCGCCCAUGAAAGCGGUACGCGAGCUGGGUUCAGAACGUCGUGAGACAGUUCGGUCCAUAUCCGGUGUAGGCGUUAGAAUAUUGAGAGGAGCCUUCUUUAGUACGAGAGGACCGAGAAGGACAUACCU